GACGUAGGGCGCGAGCGUUGUCCGGAAUUAUUGGGCGUAAAGAGCUCGUAGGCGGUCUGUCGCGUCGGUCGUGAAAACCUGCAGCUUAACUGUGGGCGUGCGGGCGAUACGGGCAGACUGGAGUACUGCAGGGGAGACUGGAAUUCCUGGUGUAGCGGUGGAAUGCGCAGAUAUCAUCAGGAACACCGGAGGCGAAGGCGGCUCACUGGGUCUUUUCUGACGCUGAGGGACGAAAGCUAGGGGAGCGAACGGG
rnacentral:rRNA from 1 species